rnacentral:rRNA from 2 species
GGGUUGUGAGGUUAAGCGACUAAGCGUACACGGUGGAUGCCCUGGCAGUCAGAGGCGAUGAAGGACGUGCUAAUCUGCGAUAAGCGCCGGUAAGGUGAUAUGAACCGUUAUAACCGGCGAUUUCCGAAUGGGGAAACCCAGUGUGACUCGUCACACUAUCAUUAACUGAAUCCAUAGGUUAAUGAGGCGAACCGGGGGAACUGAAACAUCUAAGUACCCCGAGGAAAAGAAAUCAACCGAGAUUCCCCCAGUAGCGGCGAGCGAACGGGGAGGAGCCCAGAGUCUGAAUCAGCAUGUGUGUUAGUGGAAGCGUCUGGAAAGGCGCGCGAUACAGGGUGACAGCCCCGUACACAAAAGCGCAUAUGCUGUGAGCUCGAUGAGUAGGGCGGGACACGUGGUAUCCUGUCUGAAUAUGGGGGGACCAUCCUCCAAGGCUAAAUACUCCUGACUGACCGAUAGUGAACCAGUACCGUGAGGGAAAGGCGAAAAGAACCCCGGCGAGGGGAGUGAAAAAGAACCUGAAACCGUGUACGUACAAGCAGUGGGAGCACCCUUUGGGGUGUGACUGCGUACCUUUUGUAUAAUGGGUCAGCGACUUAUAUUCUGUAGCAAGGUUAACCGUAUAGGGGAGCCGCAGGGAAACCGAGUCUUAAC